UACGGAGGGGGCUAGCGUUGUUCGGAAUUACUGGGCGUAAAGCGCGCGUAGGCGGCUUUGUAAGUUAGAGGUGAAAGCCCGGAGCUCAACUCCGGAACUGCCUUUAAGACUGCAUCGCUAGAAUCAUGGAGAGGUGAGUGGAAUUCCGAGUGUAGAGGUGAAAUUCGUAGAUAUUAGGAAGAACACCAGUGGCGAAGGCGCUCUACUGGGCCAUUACUGACGCUGAUGGACGAAAGCUAGGGGAGCGAAAGGG
rnacentral:rRNA from 1 species